GUCGAGCGAACAGACGAGGAGCUUGCUCCUCUGACGUUAGCGGCGGACGGGUGAGUAACACGUGGAUAACCUACCUAUAAGACUGGGAUAACUUCGGGAAACCGGAGCUAAUACCGGAUAAUAUAUUGAACCGCAUGGUUCAAUAGUGAAAGACGGUUUUGCUGUCACUUAUAGAUGGAUCCGCGCCGCAUUAGCUAGUUGGUAAGGUAACAGCUUACCAAGGCAACGAUGCGUAGCCGACCUGAGAGGGUGAUCGGCCACACUGGAACUGAGACACGGUCCAGACUCCUACGGGAGGCAGCAGUAGGGAAUCUUCCGCAAUGGGCGAAAGCCUGACGGAGCAACGCCGCGUGAGUGAUGAAGGUCUUCGGAUCGUAAAACUCUGUUAUUAGGGAAGAACAAAUGUGUAAGUAACUAUGCACGUCUUGACGGUACCUAAUCAGAAAGCCACGGCUAACUACGUGCCAGCAGCCGCGGUAAUACGUAGGUGGCAAGCGUUAUCCGGAAUUAUUGGGCGUAAAGCGCGCGUAGGCGGUUUUUUAAGUCUGAUGUGAAAGCCCACGGCUCAACCGUGGAGGGUCAUUGGAAACUGGAAAACUUGAGUGCAGAAGAGGAAAGUGGAAUUCCAUGUGUAGCGGUGAAAUGCGCAGAGAUAUGGAGGAACACCAGUGGCGAAGGCGACUUUCUGGUCUGUAACUGACGCUGAUGUGCGAAAGCGUG
rnacentral:rRNA from 1 species